UUUUACCGAGUGGCGGACGGGUGAGUAACGCGUGGGUAACCUGCCUCAUACAGGGGGAUAACGGUUAGAAAUGACUGCUAAUACCGCAUAAGACCACAGCACCGCAUGGUGCAGGGGUAAAAACUCCGGUGGUAUGAGAUGGACCCGCGUCUGAUUAGGUAGUUGGUGGGGUAACGGCCUACCAAGCCGACGAUCAGUAGCCGACCUGAGAGGGUGACCGGCCACAUUGGGACUGAGACACGGCCCAA
rnacentral:rRNA from 1 species